UACGUAGGGUGCGAGCGUUAAUCGGAAUUACUGAGCGUAAAGCGUGCGCAGGCGGUUUUGUAAGUCAGAUGUGAAAUCCCCGGGCUUAACCUGGGAACUGCGUUUGAAACUACAAGGCUAGAGUGUGGCAGAGGGGGGUGGAAUUCCACGUGUAGCAGUGAAAUGCGUAGAGAUGUGGAGGAACACCGAUGGCGAAGGCAGCCCCCUGGGUUAACACUGACGCUCAGGCACGAAAGCGUGGGGAGCAAACAGG
rnacentral:rRNA from 1 species